rnacentral:lncRNA from 1 species
CGUCUCGAAAAUCCCAUAAACUCACGGGAUAUUCACAAAGAGAUCAAGAAGUGGCCGGAUAAUUCGUGAUUAUCAAAUACUUCAAGAAGAUCCACAACAUACUUUAUGGAUAUCAAAUAAAUUCAUGAAAAUCCGCAACAUCCUACGUCCGAGAAACAUGAUGCUCUAGACCUCGAUUCAUGGAGAUAAUCAGGAGAGAAGAAUCAAAGGAACAAAGAGAAUUGUACCCGCAUCAUUUUAUCAAUAAAAUUAUAUUUAUUUAUAUUUA